rnacentral:rRNA from 1 species
GUGACGAAGCGACCCCGCGUGUGGGAAGAAGGCCUUCGGGGUUGUAAACCACUGUGGGGAGUCAGGAAAUGUGGAGGUGUUAAUAGCGCCUUCAUUUGACUAAAGCUCCAGAGGAAGCCACGGCUAACUCUGUGCCAGCAGCCGCGGUAAUACAGAGGUGGCAAGCGUUGUUCGGAAUUAUUGGGCGUAGAGAGCACGUAGGCGGCUCUGCAAGUCAGCUGUGAAAGCCUUCUGCUUAACGGAAGAACGGCAGUUGAAACUACAGGGCUUGAGUGCGGGAGGGGAGAGUGGAACUUCUGGUGGAGCGGUGAAAUGCGUAGAUAUCAGAAGGAACGCCGGCGGCGAAAGCGGCUCUCUGGUCCGUAACUGACGCUGAGUGUGCGAAAGCUAGGGGAGCAAACGGGAUUAGAUACCCCGGUAGUCCUAGCCGUAAACGAU